UCGAACGGCAGCACGGGAGCAAUACCUGGUGGCGAGUGGCGAACGGGUGAGUAAUNUAUGGAACCGUGCCCGGUCGUGGGGGAUAACGUAGCGAAAGCUACGCUAAUACCGCAUACGAUCUACGGAUGAAANCGGGGGAUCGCAAGACCUCGCGCGAUUGGAGCGGCCGAUAUCAGAUUAGGUAGUUGGUGAGGUAAAGGCUCACCAAGCCGACGAUCUGUAGCUGGUCUGAGAGGACGACCAGCCACACUGGGACUGAGACACGGCCCAGACUCCUACGGGAGGCAGCAGUGGGGAAUUUUGGACAAUGGGCGCAAGCCUGAUCCAGCAAUGCCGCGUGCAGGAUGAAGGCCUUCGGGUUGUAAACUGCUUUUGUACGGAACGAAACGGUGAGCUCUAAUACAGUUUGCUAAUGACGGUACCGUAAGAAUAAGCACCGGCUAACUACGUG
rnacentral:rRNA from 1 species